GACGAACGCUGGCGGCGUGCUUAACACAUGCAAGUCGAACGGAAAGGCCCCCAUCUUGGUGGGGGUGCUCGAGUGGCGAACGGGUGAGUAACACGUGGGUGAUCUGCCCUGUACUUCGGGAUAAGCUUGGGAAACUGGGUCUAAUACCGGAUAGGACCAUGGUUUAGUGUCUCAUGGUGGAAAGAUUAUUGUUUUGGUGCAGGAUGAGCUCGCGGCCUAUCAGCUUGUUGGUGGGGUAAUGGCCUACCAAGGCGUCGACGGGUAGCCGGCCUGAGAGGGUGGACGGCCACAUUGGGACUGAGAUACGGCCCAGACGCCUACGGGAGGCAGCAGUGGGGAAUAGUGCACAAUGGGCGCAAGCCUGAUGCAGCGACGCCGCGUGGGGGAUGACGGCCUUCGGGUUGUAAACUCCUUUCGUUAGGGACGAAGCCGCACUUUUUUUGGGUGUGGUGACGGUACCUUUGUUAAGAAGCACCGGCUAACUACGUG
rnacentral:rRNA from 1 species